UUUGGGGCGUUUAAAGGUAUGAGUCUUGCUUUGGGUGCAAGAGGCCUGAGUUCGAUUCUCGGAACACCUCCAAAC